UACGAAGGGGGCUAGCGUUGCUCGGAAUCACUGGGCGUAAGGGUGCGUAGGCGGGUCUUUAAGUCAGGGGUGAAAUCCUGGAGCUCAACUCCAGAACUGCCUUUGAUACUGAAGAUCUUGAGUGCGGGAGAGGUGAGUGGAACUGCGAGUGUAGAGGUGAAAUUCGUAGAUAUUCGCAAGAACACCAGUGGCGAAGGCGGCCAACUGGUCCGGUACUGACGCUGAGGUGCGAAAGCGUGGGGAGCAAACAGG
rnacentral:rRNA from 1 species